UACGUAGGGGGCAAGCGUUGUCCGGAAUCAUUGGGCGUAAAGAGCGUGUAGGCGGCCCGGUAAGUCCGCUGUGAAAGUCCAGGGCUCAACCCUGGGAUGCCGGUGGAUACUGUCGGGCUCGAGUCCGGAAGAGGAGUGUGGAAUUCCUGGUGUAGCGGUGGAAUGCGCAGAUAUCAGGAGGAACACCAACGGCGAAGGCAGCUCGCUGGGACGGUACUGACACUGAGGCGCGAAAGCGUGGGGAGCGAACAGG
rnacentral:rRNA from 1 species